CAGAUUUGGUGCUUUUUCUGGCAUUAGCAUAUUUGGUUGUUCUUGGUUGUUCUUUGUGGUGAAUUUAUUAUAUGUGGGAAAUAGUUAAGUUCUAUUAUGGGUUUGAUAAUGGGUUUGGUUAUUUGGGGCUUCUGCUCUGUAAAUGUGAAUUUGUAAGGGUAUUGAGUCGUAUUGUACCAUUGUAUGUCUUUGUAUUGUAAAGGAAGAAGAAGAAGAAAUUAGGGUAAAGCUAUGGGCAGAAAUCAAGAUCGUUAUAUGGGCAUGUUUCGUUGGUUUGUUUAACACAGUUUGGUUUUUUUCUUUUGUUCAACCAGGGGAAAGAAUUUGAAAACUUAGGUGAUUGGGUGUCCAAAAACCAUUGAUGGUGACUUGAAAUGCAAAGAAUUCCCAGCAUGUUUUGGGUUUGAUACUGCUUGCAAGAUAUAUGCAUAAAGGAUUGGAAAUGUCAUGAUAGAUGCCAGAUCAACUGGAAAAUAUUAUCACUUUGUGCGACUUAUGGGGCGUGCAGCUUCGCACAUAACACUUGAAUGUGCAGCUUGAUCUUUUGGACACUUUACCUAGGGACUAAAAGCAGCAAAUAAAAAGGGUUCAACAUUGUUGGUCAGGUACUUUUGGCUUCUGAGAAGCAUUACAUUUUGUAGUUUCAAAGUCUUCAAUAUCUACUGAGAGGGCGCAAUAAUUUAUAAAGAAAAGAAAAUUGAGGAUGGACUGUGCUUAUAGUUGUAACCACACAUUUCUGUUUUCUUAUUGCAGUGGGCAGUCACAGCAAGUGGAUAGAAAAGGUGUACCUCGUCUUAAUACACCUCCAUUUUUGCCUAAUACAUCUCUGGCCACUGGCCAGCAAUCAAGACAAAACGAUAAUUGCACCAAGGCCAAUCCGGGUUACUCCGAAUCUUGUUAAUAAGCUUGAGGAUCUAUCUUAGCCAUGGACUCGAUCUCCAAAAAAAUAAAAAAUGGAACCUGUAGUGGCAACAUGGCAUUUCAUUUCUUCAGACCCUCCUGCAGAUAGCUCAACCAUCGAUCCUUCCCGUUUCAGGGACACCAUGAAACUUGCUCCAAUGCCCGAUUCAUAUGACUUGGAUAGAGGAUUGCUUUUCUGUGCAAGCAAUACAAGAAUGGACUGGAAGAUAAGUUAGAAGUCUCUUAAUCAUUUUGAAAUUAUGACAGUGAGAACUUGAAUAGAAUUAUUUAUAUAACUCUUAUGUUGAUAAUUCAGGCUUUGUUGGAGAAUAAAGGUUUCCCAGUUAUAGUUGGAA